UACAGAGGUGGCAAGCGUUGUUCGGAAUUACUGGGCGUAAAGGGCGCGUAGGCGGCCUUCUAAGUCAGACGUGAAAUCCCCCGGCUUAACCUGGGAACUGCGUCUGAUACUGGAGGGCUUGAGUAUGGGAGAGGGAUGUAGAAUUCCAGGUGUAGCGGUGAACUGCGUAGAUAUCUGGAGGAAUACCGGUGGCGAAGGCGGCAUCCUGGACCAUUACUGACGCUGAGGCGCGAAAGCUAGGGGAGCAAACGGG
rnacentral:rRNA from 1 species